rnacentral:rRNA from 1 species
UACGUAGGCAGCAAACGUUGUUCGGAAUUACUGGGCGUAAAGAGUGUGUAGGCGGUUCUGCAAGUUUGGUGUGAAAUCUCCCGGCUUAACUGGGAGGGUGCGCCGAAAACUGCAAAGCUAGAGUACUGGAGAGGAAAGCGGAAUUCCUGGUGUAGCGGUGAAAUGCGUAGAUAUCAGGAGGAACACCGGUGGUGUAGACGGCUUUCUGGACAGUAACUGACGCUGAGACACGAAAGCGUGGGGAGCAAACAGG